rnacentral:tRNA from 1 species
GGAGCGGUAGUUCAGUCGGUUUAGAAUACUAGCCUGUCACGCUAGGGGUCGCGGGUUCGAGUCCCGUCCGCUCCGCCA